rnacentral:tRNA from 1 species
ACUUAAAUAGUUUAAUUAAAAUAAAAGAUUGUGGCUCUUUUGAUGUAUGGUCUACUUUAGGUA